rnacentral:lncRNA from 1 species
UGGAGUUAGAGAUAUACUUAUCUAAAUAAAUCAGGACCAAAUCUCCAGACUCUCUGGGGAAAUUGGUGAUGCUUAACCUUCUUCUGCGCUCGCGGAGGAGACAACCUGAAAGAUAAUGAAGAGGACAUAAAUAUGCUAAGAAUAAUGAACAAAUGCCUUCCCCUUUUGGAGAUCAUACUAUCCUUGGGAGAGCACCGAAGACGUCCCAAUCAUCCUUUUCAGACUUUAUGAAUGUUCACUUUGUUUAAAAAUAGUUUAUAAAAACUUUAUUUAUU